AUAUGCUUGUCCCGAAGCUUAAGCCAUGCAUGUCUAAGAACGAUAGUAGCUUGAUCUAGAAUCUGCGAACGGCUCCGUAUAUCUGUUAUAACCCACCGCCGCCCAAACAAGCGGCAUAACCACGGUAAUUCUGUGGCUAAUACGUGCAUCCAUCACCGCCCCUUCUCCUCGGAGAGGGGGCGGGGUCUUGCGGCUCGACCAAUGGGGGGGCAACCCCCUUGCGUGAGUGCUGGCAAGGGUACCUGACCAGUCCAAACGGGCUGGCUCGUGCGAUGGGCGCCAGACCUAUCAACUAGAUGGCCGAGUAAAGUCCGGCCAUGGUUAUAACGGGUACAGAGGAUCAGGGUUCGGUCCUGGAGAGGUAGCCUGAGAGAUCGCUACUACUUCUAAGGAAGGCAGCAGGCGCGCAACGUUCCCAAUGGGGAUACCCUGAGGACGUGAAGGGACAUACCAAUGGCCGCCCCUUAAAGGCGGCCAAUUGGAAUGGGGGAGCCUUAAAUCCCACACCGAGUAACAAUUGGAGGACAAGUCUGGUGCCAGCACCCGCGGUAAUUCCAGCUCCAAUAGCAUCUAGUUAAGUUGUUGCAGUUAAAACGCUCGUAGUCGGAGCCGGUGCGCCGUCCUGCCGCCCAGUACCGCCUGGCCCCGGGAGCAAUCCUGGGGCCUAGUGGGGACAGUGGCAGGAGGCCACUACUUUGCCUGGGGAUCCCGCCUGGUGGGCCUUCAGUGGCCCGCCUUGCUGCCCCAGGCCGUUUACUUUGAGUAAAUGUGAGCGCUCCAAGCAGGCCGAUCCGGCCAUUGUAACCCGCAGCAAAGAAUAAUGGAACAGGAGCCUUCCUGCCCAUUGGUCCAGGACGGGCUAAUGAUCUAUAGGGGCGAUCGGGGCCGGCCACAUGGCGGGGGUAGGGGUGAAAUCCGUUGAUCCUCGCCAGGUGAACUAGAGCGAAAGCAGCCGGCAAGUACGCUUUCUUUGAUCAAGAACGAAAGUCUGGGGAUCGAAGAUGAUCAGAUACCAUCGUAGUCCAGACCCUAAAUCAUGCCAGCCAUGGAUGGGCCGCCGUCCAUCCCGACUCGGUCCGGACCUUAUCGGGAAACCAUAAGCGUUUGGGCUCCGGGGGGAGUAUGGUUGCAAAGCUGAAACUUAAAGGAAUUGACGGAAGAGCACACAAGGAGUGGAGCCUGCGGCUUAAUUUGACUCAACACGGGAAAACUCACUAGGGCAAGAGGGGGGUAGGAUGGACAGCCGAUCAGGGCUUUCCUGAUUCCUCCAGUGGUGGUGCAUGGUCGUUCUUAGUUCGUGGAUUGAUUUGUCUGGUCUAUUCCGCUAACGAGCGAGAACCCCCCCUACCGAUGUUAGGCGCUCCAGCACGCUCUGAAAGCCUCCCGGGCAACUGGGGGGCCUCUAGGCUGAAAACGCUGGUGAGCUCGCUCUGGAGGGACCGGUACCGACAAGGUGCCGGCAGCGGGUCAAUAACAGGUCAGUGAUGCCCUUAGAUGCCCUAGGCCGCACGCGCGCUACAAUGGGACGAGUACCGGGCUCUCCUGUGCCGAAAGGCGGCGGGGAAUCCGCGAAAGCGUCUCGUAUCCGGGACAGCGCCGUGUAACUCGGCGCUCAAACAAGGAAUUUCUAGUAGUCAUGGGUCACUAGCCCGUGACGAUUC
rnacentral:rRNA from 1 species